rnacentral:rRNA from 1 species
AUGAACGCUGGCGGCGUGCCUCAUCCAUGCCAGUCGCGCGAACAGAUGAGGAGCUUGCUCCUCUGACGUUAGCGGCGGCCGGGUGAGUAACACGUGGAUAACCUACCUAUAAGACUGGGAUAACUUCGGGAAACCGGAGCUAAUACCGGAUAAUAUAUUGAACCGCAUGGUUCAAUAGUGAAAGACGGUUUUGCUGUCACUUAUAGAUGGAUCCGCGCCGCAUUAGUUAGUUGGUAAGGUAACGGCUUACCAAGGCAACGAUGCGUAGCCGACCUGAGAGGCGGGUAGCCGACAUUGGAGCGGGGACACGUUCCAGACUCCUACGGGAGGCAGCAGUAGGGAAUCUUCCGCAAUGGGCGAAAGCCUGACGGAGCAACGCCGCGUGAGUGAUGAAGGUCUUCGGAUCGUAAAACUCUGUUAUUAGGGAAGAACAAAUGUGUAAGUAACUAUGCACGUCUUGACGGUACCUAAUCAGAAAGCCACGGCUAACUACGUG